GUAACUGAUUAGUUGCUUUAUUCUUCUUCUAUAUUUUAUCACUCUUGCUUGUUUCUGUAUGCUCACGAUGCUGGUAAUUCGAGUUCUGUGGCUGCUCAGAGGUGGUCAAAUAGAAGCGGGAAGACGUCAGGUGAGCCGUUCAGAAGAGGGAGGAGCGGCGGAGCCUUGGCUGAAGAAAAAGGCGGCGGCUGGCGGCGACUUGUACAUGGCGGUGGCUGGCUGCGGUUGCACGGAAGAGAGUAGAAAUGAGGGCCGCAACCUUCCUGUGAUUGGCGGAGAGGGGCGGUGCGGGUGAUGCCCCCUCGUGAGAGGCGGUGGCCGCACGCGAGGUUGGGUCGUCCGCCCUGUCGCGAUGGUUGCCGGCGGCAGCUUGUACGAGUUUCCCAUUCCGAUGUCGGAUGUGGUGUUUUGAAGAGACGAUCAUGGCGGAAUCUCCGAGCUUGAUAGCCUACAAAGUUGUGUUUUGUGCAUUGGGAUGUUUCAUGUUGGCUACCCUCGUCUACACUAUGGUGACUGAUGGUUCGCCUUUUCGAGUCGAGCUCUUGACACCGUGGAUGAUUGCAACUUUGAUAGACUUCUAUGUCAAUGUUGUUGCUAUAGCAGUUUGGGUUGUCUACAAAGAAUCAACUUGGAUAAAAGCACUUAUGUGGGUGGUUCUUUUAGUAUGUUUUGGCAGUGUGGCUACUUGUGCUUAUAUUACCCUGAAGCUGUUCAAUAUUUCAUCUCAAGAUCCAAAAAUUUCUCUGAGACAACUUUUGUUGAGGGAGGAUCAUGACUGUCAUGCAAAAUGCUCAUCUAUUAUUCUUGGGAGAGUUGUUUUUAGCACCUUGGGUGUAUUUGUGUUAGCAGUUGUUGUUUAUACUGUAGCAACAGAUGGACUUCCUUUUCGAAUGGACUUGUUGACACCGUGGAUGGCUGCUACCUUAAUUGACUUCUACAUUAAUGUCCUUGUUAUAUCAGUAUGGGUUGUUCAUAAGGAGCCAACAUGGAUAUCUGCAUUUAUUUGGAUUUGCUUGUUGAUUUGCUUUGGCAGCAUCACAACGUGUGCUUAUAUCGUCAUUCAACUUUUUCGGCUCUCCUUGCAAGAACCAAUGUACAAGGUUUUAUCUAGCACUCAAGCCAAACUUGGAAGUACAUCAUCCUCAAAGUAAUGUUCAAAUGCCUCUAGGUACAAAGAAUAGCCACAUCUUACUGGAUUCCACCAUUUCAGAGUUGUUCAGAAGUAUUCAAUUCUCUGCAUACACAAUUCCUCCAUUGUGUGAAUGAAGCAAAUUACUACAACUUACAGUAUCAAUCUGGAUCUAUCAUCGUCAAAGAGUUAGACUUUAGCAGGAAAAUAUUGAAGCAUAAGAAUAUUAGAGUGGUUGUGUUUUGACUCAAUCUAGUUUCUCCUAUUUCCACCUCAUUAUGUUGACCUAAAUUAGAUGAUUGUGUACUUUAUUUGUUAAAAAACACAAAUGACAGUUGACUUCCUUGAUGUUGAUAGUUGAAAACAUUUCAACUUUUUAGGUGCCACCAUUCAUUAA